AUGACGUUGGUGUAGCGGCAGCACGUCGGUCUGUGGCGCCGACAGCGCCGGUUCGACUCCGGCACGUCAUACCA
rnacentral:tRNA from 1 species